UACGAAUGGGGCUAGCGUUGCUCGGAUUGACUGGGCGUAAAGGGCGCGUAGGCGGUUCGUACAGUCAGACGUGAAAUUCCUGGGCUCAACCUGGGGGCUGCGUUUGAUACGUGCGGACUUGAGUGCGGAAGAGGGUCGUGGAAUUCCCAGUGUAGAGGUGAAAUUCGUAGAUAUCGGGAGGAACACCAGUGGCGAAGGCGGUUUCCUGGACAGUUACUGACGCUCAGGCACGAAAGCAUGGGGAGCAAAAGGG
rnacentral:rRNA from 1 species